rnacentral:rRNA from 1 species
GGCGAACGCUGGCGGCGUGCUUAACACAUGCAAGUCGAACGGAAAGGCCCCCACUUUUUUGGUGGGGGUGCUCGAGUGGCGAACGGGUGAGUAACACGUGGGUGAUCUGCCCUGUACUUCGGGAUAAGCUUGGGAAACUGGGUCUAAUACCGGAUAGGACCAUGGUUUAGUGUCUCAUGGUGGAAAAAUUAUUGUUUUGGUGCAGGAUGAGCUCGCGGCCUAUCAGCUUGUUGGUGGGGUAAUGGCCUACCAAGGCGUCGACGGGUAGCCGGCCUGAGAGGGUGGACGGCCACAUUGGGACUGAGAUACGGCCCAGACUCCUACGGGAGGCAGCAGUGGGGAAUAUUGCACAAUGGGCGCAAGCCUGAUGCAGCGACGCCGCGUGGGGGAUGACGGCCUUCGGGUUGUAAACUCCUUUCGUUAGGGACGAAGCCGCACCUUUUUUGGGUGUGGUGACGGUACCUUUGUUAAGAAGCACCGGCUAACUACGUG